rnacentral:tRNA from 1 species
GGGCACUUGGCGCAGUGGUAGCGCGCUUCAUUCACAUUGAAGAGGUCACAGGUUCGAACCCUGUAGUGCCCA